UAUGCUUCUUGGCCUUUUGGCUAAGAUCAAGUGUAUAAUCUGUUCUUAUCAGUUUAAAAGUGUAGUAGGUUUUAUAAAAGCAGUCUGAAGAAACAACAACUCUUGAAGACUAGUAACACAUUAACAGCUUCCAUGUUAUUCAUAGAGCAUUCUGAAAAGCAUUGAAAUGAGACUACUAUAUUAAUUUUUCCCAUCUC